rnacentral:rRNA from 1 species
UACGUAGGGGGCAAGCGUUAUCCGGAUUUACUGGGUGUAAAGGGAGCGUAGACGGCAGAGCAAGUCUGAAGUGAAAGCCCGCGGCCCAACUGCGGGACUGCUUUGGAAACUGCCCGGCUAGAGUGCUGGAGAGGUAAGCGGAAUUCCUAGUGUAGCAGUGAAAUGCGUAGAUAUUAGGAGGAACACCAGUGGCGAAGGCGGCUUACUGGACAGUAACUGACGUUGAGGCUCGAAAGCGUGGGGAGCAAACAGG